UUUCUUAUGCAAUUUAGUAGUAGAGAAAACUUCUAAUACUACGUUCCUCGAAAUGCAAGAAGGACUUUCGGAAAAAGAAAACUAUUUGUAUCUAGUUAAAUUUUAUAUUGGCGUGAAUACGGCUUAAAUCAGCCCUCUUUUAGAAGAUCAUUAUUCAGUUUUAUUUGACUGGUAUAAAAAAUUGAGGGUAUGAAUGCCGUUUAAAUGUCACUCAUGUUGUGAAUUCAUAUUUGGCAGCCGAGGAUCUUUUGUUUGAUGAAUUGAAUAUCUGACAUUCGACCUCAUCAUGAUGUGUUUGUUUUUGUUCGCAGGUAUGCAUGACAUCAACUUAUGACUCCAUCGUUCAAAAAAGUGUACAGAUAGCUUGCUUGAAGAUAAUAUCAAAUGUUGGUUUUAACUGCACCAAUUUGUAUCGACAAAAACCGUAUGCGUGGGGCAUGCUGCAUAAUCGUAAGACUAAAUCAUUAUAAUUCUACGUGUAUAUCUUAUCCACAUAUUCACACAAUAGUGAAUUCCUCAAAAUUAUUAAAUCAAAGUGUGUUUUGACGCUCACAUCGCAACGAAUAAUCAGUUCUCUAUAGCUGAGGAUAUUGCACCAUUGAUGUGAGAACAGCUAAUAGGCUAAAAAAGACAAUUAUUUUCCUUCAAAUUUAUACUCCGAUGUCGUUGGAAAACAAAUAAUUUCUAUCAGUUUCCAGAUUAAACCCAACAAUGUCUUCUGAAGCAAAAUCGCAUGACGGUCGCAAGAGUUACAUGGCGUAUCAUUCAACUUAGGCACGUAGUGAAAGUAAAUUGGUAAAGGUUUGACCAACAAUUUCAGUUGGUAAAGCUUGUAAUAUAACAAAGUACAUAUCCGAACUGUAGGUUCUUACUUUCAAUAUACUAACGAAAGUAUCGCCCGUUGAACAACACCAAAGUGGACGACGCGUCACUCAUCGCAUUAAUGCAUCCCAGGGUACUUUUUUCACCUCAAUUCCACCGAAAGGUGACGAUUUGACGAGUUAAUUCACUUUCCU
rnacentral:lncRNA from 1 species